rnacentral:rRNA from 1 species
UCGAGCGGGGAAGGGUAGCUUGCUACCUGACCUAGCGGCGGACGGGUGAGUAAUGCUUAGGAAUCUGCCUAUUAGUGGGGGACAACAUUCCGAAAGGAAUGCUAAUACCGCAUACGCCCUACGGGGGAAAGCAGGGGAUCUUCGGACCUUGCGCUAAUAGAUGAGCCUAAGUCAGAUUAGCUAGUUGGUGGGGUAAAGGCCUACCAAGGCGACGAUCUGUAGCGGGUCCGAGAGGAUGAUCCGCCACACUGGGACUGAGACACGGCCCAGACUCCUACGGGAGGCAGCAGUGGGGAAUAUUGGACAAUGGGCGAAAGCCUGAUCCAGCCAUGCCGCGUGUGUGAAGAAGGCCUUUUGGUUGUAAAGCACUUUAAGCGAGGAGGAGGCUACUGAGAUUAAUACUCUUGGAUAGUGGACGUUACUCGCAGAAUAAGCACCGGCUAACUCUGUGCCAGCAGCCGCGGUAAUACAGAGGGUGCGAGCGUUAAUCGGAUUUACUGGGCGUAAAGCGUGCGUAGGCGGCUUUUUAAGUCGGAUGUGAAAUCCCUGAGCUUAACUUAGGAAUUGCAUUCGAUACUGGGAAGCUAGAGUAUGGGAGAGGAUGGUAGAAUUCCAGGUGUAGCGGUGAAAUGCGUAGAGAUCUGGAGGAAUACCGAUGGCGAAGGCAGCCAUCUGGCCUAAUACUGACGCUGAGGUACGAAAGCAUGGGGAGCAAACAAGAUUAGAUACCCUGGUAGUCCAUGCCGUAAACGAUGUCUA